GACGAACGCUGGCGGCGUGCUUAACACAUGCAAGUCGAACGGAAAGGCCCUGCUUUUGUGGGGUGCUCGAGUGGCGAACGGGUGAGUAACACGUGAGUAACCUGCCCUUGACUUUGGGAUAACUUCAGGAAACUGGGGCUAAUACCGGAUAGGAGCUCCUGCUGCAUGGUGGGGGUUGGAAAGUUUCGGCGGUUGGGGAUGGACUCGCGGCUUAUCAGCUUGUUGGUGGGGGAGGGGCUUACCAAGGCUUUGACGGGUAGCCGGCCUGAGAGGGUGACCGGCCAUAUUGGGACUUAGAUACGGCCCAGACUCCUACGGGAGGCAGCAGUGGGGAAUAUUGCACAAUGGGCGGAAGCCUGAUGCAGCAACGCCGCGUGCUGGAUGACGGCCUUCGGGUUGUAAACCGCUUUCGCCUGUGACGAAGCGUGAGUGACGGUAAUGGGUAAAGAAGCACCGGCUAACUACGUG
rnacentral:rRNA from 1 species